rnacentral:lncRNA from 10 species
UAGGAUGUUUCAAAUUCAUUGUGACUUCACAUAAAGGUACUCUCUGGAGUAUGAAAGUCAAUUUUACAGGUGUAAAAUAAAGGAAAAGAAGACAGUCUGAAAGUCAAAUGAAAUUCCAGGACCACCUGUAUUUCAGUGAGCAGGAACUGUACUAGGAGAAGGAGACAGAAAGGUGGUGACAUACUUUUCCUUUCAUGGGGAAACAGUCUAAUGGAGAGAAGGACAAGUAAGAAACCACAAAGUGUAUUUUGGAAAAGAAAGUCCUCAGACCAAAACAAUAACAGCAACAACCAAAAACUGUUUUCGUUUGGAAGGAGGACCAGAAGGAAGGAAUAAGGGUCAGGCACUGACUCUACAGAUACUCAGACUCAAAGCUCACUGGAGAGCAGAAUGAGUAUUCCAAAAAUGGCCAUCAUAUGUCUGGACCCAUAUUCUCUUCUAGAACAUUGCCCCUACUCCAUCAAGAAGUUGAGUGUAUGUACUUCUCUCUGAACCUGGGUUGCCUCUCAUAUCUCCUCAUCAUAUAUACCUCUUCAAAUUCAAUCGAGAUUUCAAUUCUUCUCACUUCUCCCCAACCUUACUUUGAUCUCCUGGUAAUUUUAGAGUAAUUGAGAAUAUUUUCUAACAUACGUGUCAACAUAAUGAAGGAGCUGGGACCUAAAUGAAGAAGCGACAGAAUUUACAGUGGCUUUGAAUGCUGGUUCCUGAAUGGAUUUGCUUGACUGCAAUUCAAUCUUUUUUGUGGCUCAAGGCUCACUCACCUCUAAAAG